CACGUGGGGUCGCACCAACAUCCCCUCCUGAAAUCCUCAUUCGCUUAUAGAGACGAUACCAUUAGAUUAUUAUUUUUUCUUCUCCUUUUUGGAAUAGCAAUAGCUGCUCAAUGUAAUUAUGCACCUAAGCAUUUCCAUUAAGUGAAUAAGACUUUAAAAAAGAUUAACUGGGGUUUCUCCUGCGUCCAGGAUAAAGGUAAACUUAAGGCAGUGGUUUUCAAACCCUUUAAAAAAAAGAAAAACACCACCUCUGCUGGAGAGACAACACUGCUUUUAAAGCAGGAAGUCAUUAACAGAAAUGUAACACUCCCCCCCCCCCUUUUCGUACAAUCAUCUGAAGAAGAGUUUAGCUGGUCGGGUGCCCACAUGGUGGGCAUGGAUUACUAAUAGCUUUAUAGAAUGGCUGCACACAAACUGGGUGAUUAUUGGCAACACGGGAAAAAAUCGCUUAUGCAGAAAACAUCAGAUGAAAUGUGACAGCUUGUUACCCUUAUAGUACUCUGUUGUCGGAAAUCCUGGCCAUUUGGACUCUCUGAAAAGACAUUGUCUCCAAAAUACAUUUAUGGAGAUCGCCUCGGAAUUCCAGGUCAGACGCCGGUUUGCCAACUACAACUUUUUAAUUUAUUUGAAACUUCACCAGUUUAAUUAGCCACCGUUCGAAAUACAAAUGUUUUCCUUUGGUGACUCGCAACAUUUAAAAUGAUUAAAGGCCAUAUAAAGUAUAAAGCAACGUCGCCGCUAUCAUAAAAACAGCAGCAAAAACGUUGCAGAUCAUUCUGUAUCAUUAAUUCCCUUAAAUAUAUCACAGAAAGCUGUACCCGCAUAAUAGAGGGUGCUAACUAAAAGCCUGGUUGGCAUCUGUCUGUCUCGGGAGACAAUGGAGGAGUGUGCCUUUGGGGGUGAGGUCAAGCUGUCAGGAGGUUGCAGCGCCUGCUGUGGCUGUAGAGACCAGUGCAGAAGAGACAAGUUUUGUUGCAGCUGGGGCAGAUGAAGGCAUCCAGUUGUGCUGUUACAGAUGCGCCAUGGCGUUUCUUCUCUCUGCACUCCUCCCAGCGGUCAUUCCUCCUCUGGUCACUGCUAUGGAUGUACAACCUGACUGCCUGUCUCCAGGCAGUGUGGUCGUCUGCAAGGGAUUCCCACACAGCAGGAUUGAUGCUUCCAGCCUUCAUGUCACAAUUGCAGAAAUCUUUGUAAUGAAGAGUUGGUCUGCAAAUGGGCUUGGCUCCUGAAGCCAGCUCCCCGUAGAGCACGGGGAUACUGCCAUCUUCCAUUCUGUGGACAUGGCCAAGCCUGAAGAACAAUGUGUUUGCAGCCUGCCACAACAAGGCAAAGACGACUAAUAUGCAUGGGUUUUAUAAUUGAUUUCACAUUUGUAAACCACUUAGAAGCCAUUCUGGCAUAUGAGUGGUAUAUAAAUUAAUAAAGAAAAAGUAAAUGUCUGCAGUAGCAACUGGCCAGGGCUGCAUUGGUGAGGCUGCCUGACUCUCCUGUGUUUCUAAAGUCACAUGUCACUGCCCCUUACCGAGAGAGGUGCAACAUCAGAGCUAAUUUGAUGGUCCUGAUGCUGCGGCCGCACCAUGCCAGCCUUCUCACUGCCUUGCUCCUUCAGCUGUCCUACUUAGUAACUGGCAGGGAUGUGUGGCAUUGGGAAGACAAUAAAGCAACACAGCCCUGCCCAUGCAACCCUGUCGGCUGCUACUGGCGAACUGUGUAUCUUGGGAGGUGAAGUUCCAUAGAUGUGGGGCCACGGCAGAAAAGGACCUGUUCUUUUGGAUCUACCAGUUGGACCUUCUGGCAGGUGUAUGAGCAGGAUCUCCGUAACCUUUCACCUCCUCCAUUGCUUACAGUGUGAGAUGCCAGGGCCAGUGCAAACAGACAGCUCAGGCCCAGCCCACUUGAAUAAGUUCCCAUUUGCUUGCUCAGUCCAAAGAAACAUCCCACUUGCUACACCACCCCAUUCCUUGAUAACGGGAGCCCAGUAUGUUUGGGUCUCACUUGCUGGAUCAGCACCUUCGCUUGUGUAGGUACCUGGCAUGCCUUCAAGUCUUGUUCCUGCUUAUGCCCUGGACUGAUUUUAGCAUUUUAGCUUUUGGCAGAAAACAUACUCCAAGUCCACCAUCCAGCGAAAACCAGGACACCUCUGGGCCCCCCCGAUGUUGAAGAGGGCCUUGUGUGCAUGACCCAAUGGCUUCUUUUUGUGUUUAUCGUGCACACCUAAAUGAGUCUUCUCUCUCUCUCUCUCUCUCUCUCUCUCUCUCUCUCCACUCCCAUAAAAGGUAGCACAGGCAACAUUUCCAUAGCAUUACAUCUUUGCUGAAAUUAAUAGAAUGGACAGCUGAUGUCUGUAACAUCCUUUAUUUCUGAAACUCUGAUGUAUCCGUUCUAGUGCACCAGCACUUAUAACUGUCCAUUAGGAGCUACAUCGAGAUGGUCACAAUCACUCAGAAGCCCCUUUCCACUUCCUAAAAGCCCCAAUUUAGAAAAUGCACAUUGGAAGUCAAUGGGGAUUUAAGACACGCUUAAAGUUAAACAUGUGCAUUAGUGCUUUGCUGGAGAGUAAUGGAUUUCAACAUAUGCUUAAUGUUUAAGUGGCCCUCUUAAGUAUCUUCCCAGAGCUGGCAAGCAAGAGCAAAACUCUGAAGCUCAUCUUUCCAAAUUGGAAAUAAAAAUGUUAGCAUAUAGAUGCAAUACGGAAUGUAUAAAUACAAGGAUAUGCAAUCGAUUAAAAAAAGCAACCCUCCACCAUUUAAAAAAAUAUUUUGGAUACAUUACUAAGUAUGUAUAAUUUGUUUCUAGGCCAUUCACCUAAUAUGGAGAAUCACUCAAUUAUUCCGUUAUGUCCUUGAGAAUACUCACAAGCUGCAAAAUAUUGGAGCUAAAUAUCUAGUAUAAUCUAGUAAACCCUGAGGCUCCCUUAAGCAAGAUAUCACACAAAAAUCCUACCUCCCAUAUGCUAUGCAAUGGAUCUUAGGAUUCCUUUGCCUGCUGAUAGUCCCACAGCUAAAGUAACUCUCUCUCCUCCCUGUGGUUUAGUGCAUUGACCCCAAGUCCUGAUGGGCUGCUACUAUCGCUGAACCACAGCGACUGAUAUUGCUGGCCCACAGAUCAUUCCCAGGCAGCUUAGCUGAUGGUCAGGCAAGAUGGGAGUGGUAAUCCAACAACAUAUGGGGACCCGGGGCUGAAGAAAACCACCCUGCAGCUUUGCCAAUGCAUACCCUCCAACUGCCCCAGUUUGAGGGACACUCUCAGAUUCAUGGACCUAUUCCCAGAUUCUGUUUGGAUCCAGGAAUUUCCCACUUUCCCCUUCCAGCACUGGAGUGGAGCAUGAGCUGGCCGGCUGAACCUCCCCAUGGCUGCCACUGCAGGCCUCCCUUCGGCAGCUUGUAACAGCGGCUGGAGAGCUGUGAAGAUGCUCUCCCUGCAGGGGUUGUCCUCACCUCCCUUGCAUGCCCAGUGGAGGAGAGGAGUGGUGGCGGCUCUCCACUGCUUCCACCCCCGUCUCAGGCAUGACCCGGGAGUGGAGCUGUGGCCUGGUGGUACUGAAGAGCAAAGGAGAGGUGCAACACUGCCGCCACCGCUCCUUCUCCCUGUUGUUUCUGCCUCUGAUGUUCUGAGGCACAUAUUCAUGACCCAGAUCCAAAGGUAAAAAUGUUGGAAGGUAUGUUGAUAAACCCUAGUUUCAUUGCCACACGGUUGCUUGCUGCCCCAUAGUGGCUGGCAGCAAGGCUUCAGUUCCCUCUCCUGAUUACUCUUCUCGGGCGCCCAAUCAGCAAAAUCGCAUGCACUAAACACAGCAUGGGGAAAAGAGCAAGUUGCUUCCGUUUACCGAAAUAGGAAGUGGGCUGUUUUGGCUGCAAACAAACAAUGAGGACAAAUGUUUAAUGAAUAAGUUGUCUGGAAGUUGCUACCUUGGCCUUUCCCCAACCUGGUGCCCUCCCCGCCCGAAGUUUUGGAGUCUGUUGUGAUUGAUGACCUGGGAGAAGAUUGCGAGCAUAAGUGGGCAGUAAGAGGGUUUGGAUCAUUACAUUUUUUAAGUUCAGCAAGUAUAGGUGUUCAAAUGUGUCUACCUAUUUAUUCAACUGUCCAUCUGUCAGAUAUUCCAAUAAGUGGCUCUUGUCUAGGUUUGUUAAUUGUCUUACUUUAAAUGUUGUGAGGAUCCUAUGCCCUUUUAAAAUGUGGUUUUGGGGUUUGUUGGGUUGUUGUAUUUAUUUUGAUUAUGUAUUUUGUGGCUUUAUAUUUUGAUUUUAUUCUGCAAAUCACCCUGAGACCUAUGGGUAUAGGGCAGUAUAUAAAUUCAAUAAUAAUAAUAAUAAUAAUAAUAAUAAUAAUAAUAAUAAAUGCAUUAUAGCACAUAGAAUGUAAGUUUCAAAGGAAAGCAUGUACGUUGCAGAUGUGGGUGUGAAAUACAUAAGGAGCACAGAGAGGCUGUAGCUAAAACAGAGGUACAAAACCUUGAUGGGAAAGAUGUCAAAGCAGGAGGGGCAGAGGGGUCCCAAGGGUGCUGCAUUUCAUCUUGUUCAUCAUUAUGUCAGCCCCUGAGACCACGUAACUAGAUAGAUAGAUAGAUUGAUGGUUCCUUGACCUUUGCUUUUUUCCACGGUUUUAUCGCUCUACGGCCACAUCCCCAAAUUUCUUAGUCUCUUUGCAUCAAGCCUUGUGUCAAGCGCCAUCAUUACUUUUAGUUCCACAGAUGUUUUACAUGUCCCAAAUCAUUUUUUCCAGGUGUUGUUUGCUGUGGUCUGCCAUCAUAAAUGAACCAAUAAGUUUUUAUUUAUUUAGAUUAUAGUAUAAAUAAAUCUGGUCUCGGGUUUGCCUAGGCUUCUGCUUGCUAUAGCCUUAACAAAUUUAGGAGGCUGCAUUUAGACUCCCCCAUAAGCAAAUACUACCAUAAUUAUAAUGUGGUUUGUAUUAAUUCCAAAACAUCCAGAAGUAGCCCAACAAUGAAUUCUUUCCAGCUAUUCGUAGCCACGGUUUUUGCUAUCACUCCUUCUUUGUGCACUUGUUGCUUGAUUCAGCUGUAACUUUGCACAUGCCCCAAGACUUUGUGUACAUUGUGAUUUUGUUCUGAGCAUACGUGUAGCCAAGGGUGUGUGUAUGUGUGCCCUAUUCAUGUCCUAUUCAAGGGUAUUCCCCAGAAAAGCUCAAUAACUUUGCUUUGUGGCUCUGAGCAAUCAGUAUGAUGCUCUUGCAAGGAAUCAAAGGAAGUAAUCCAAACUACGAUAUUCCCAAUGGAGGAAGCACAAGCAAAGCAUCAAGGGAAGCCCUAGUGCAGGGCUGGGGAAUCCUUUUCAACCUGGGAGCCACAUUCCUGUUAGGCAACCAUCUGAGGGCCACAUGCCAAAUGUGGCUGGGACCAGAUGCAAACACAGGCAGGGCAAUGCAUGUGAAUUUACCUUUAUACAAUAGGUUAGCUUUUACACCCACACCCACCUCUAUCCUGCAUCCAGAAGGGCUGUGCCUGAACUCCCAAUUUUCCCUGUGGCCCCAAUCGGUGGCCCUCUGUGGGGUUUCUACAGAAUAUAUUCUGCCUUGUGGCUGCUGUACAGAGGAAUUAUCUCACAGUGACCAAAUUCCUUGCCGUAAUCAUAUAUAAUGCAAGGAAAUGCCCUCAGUUAGUACUACUUAAUUCUGGGAGCACCCUACAGCAAGCUCCUUAGCUUUCACAUUUCCUGGGUGCUGACUCCUUUCCCAAUGCAGAAUGCUCCAAAUAGCCAAGAGACUCGUUGCAAUUUCCCUGCCACUGUCUGGUGGUUUGUUGGAGUAGGAACAUGUGAUUAACUUGAACACUUCUUCCUUUGUCAAGCAGUUGGAACUGUUAGCAAGAGGGCUGGCCCAAGACAUUUUGGCACCUGAGGCAGACCCCAAAAUGGCUCCCCCUCUUGCUGCCAGGGAAGAAGGGGCAAGAGAAUACCUACAGUAAGAACAAGGGGAGGAAGAAAGAUCAGUAUCGUGAUCUGCUGCCACCUGAGGCAGUUGCCUCAUGAUGCCUUAUGGGUGGGCCGGCCCUGGCAAGCAAAACAGAUAAGUGAUGGAAGAAAAUAGUGGCCUUGGAAAUUGUAACUUAAAUACUGAUGAUCAAAUUGUAGACAUUUCCAUUGUUUCUGUUGUGAUUUACGGUUUAUUAAUUCUCUUACCUUAAUACCUCACCUUUCUGGAACUCCUAGGUAUGGCUCCCAGGCACUCACCCAUCCAGGCACUGAACAGACCUCGGACUUGUUUGGCUUCAGCAAAGUGUUGGCCUCGUGGGCCUUCAGAAAUGCAAUGCUGCUAGGAGCUACAUGAGGCAAGGGGAAAAAAAUUACGUUUGUACUUUUUGACACUGUGUCCAUAUUUGAGUUCCCCACCGACUCAUUCAGUUCCAGAACACUGGUUAGAUUUGUUUCAGGCCCUGAUUGUCUCUAGUGAGUAACUUUUGACAGCACACUUGUCAGUUUCGAGGUUUAUAUUUGAAACUCUUUCUCUCUCCCUUUCUCCCCGCUACUCCUUACAUACCUGAUUGGGGUUUUCUCUCAUGGCUAAAAAUCAACCUGUUUUCGUUUAAUCUAUCUGACAUUUCAGCCAAUAUUGCGGCCUCGCGUUUCUAUGAUUUUCAACAUUUGUCACAGCUUGGGAUGAGAGGUAGCCACUCACUAACCAAGCAAUGCUGUUUGCUUGCUACAUCUUUCUUUUAUUUCUUUGGCAGCUGAGGAAUGUCAACUGGGUUUUUUUUUGGCUUGCAGCCUGACACCGAGAGAUACUAAUCACCUGUAAGUCUCGCUGAACAUUGGAAGAACAUCUGAGGCCCAGGGACUGAAGGAGUGAAAUGUAUUUCUGAUUACGGAUCCUGCAAAAGCAACUGUUAAGAAGACAGCUUCUUCUUUUUUAAAGGCAUCUUGCUCCGGUCAAUGAAUUAAACACGGUUUGAUUUACAAAAUGUAUUGGUUUUUUCAACAUCCAAUUUGAAAAUAUAAGGAAUCAACUCAGAAGAAGAGAAUAAGGUUCUGUGGAACAAAGUUUGAUGGGGCACACAGGCAGUUUGCUUUGAGACAUUUAAACUACGUACUGCUCCAUUUUGCGGGGGAGGUACUUUAACAGAGAAUAAAUAACUUUUGAAGAU